rnacentral:rRNA from 1 species
CAGCAGCCGCGGUAAUACCGAGGGUGCGAGCGUUAAUCGGAUUUACUGGGCGUAAAGCGUGCGUAGGCGGCUUCUUAAGUCGGAUGUGAAAUCCCUGAGCUUAACUUAGGAAUUGCAUUCGAUACUGGGAAGCUAGAGUAUGGGAGAGGAUGGUAGAAUUCCAGGUGUAGCGGUGAAAUGCGUAGAGAUCUGGAGGAAUACCGAUGGCGAAGGCAGCCAUCUGGCCUAAUACUGACGCUGAGGUACGAAAGCAUGGGGAGCAAACAGGAUUAGAGACCCCCGUAGUCCCUGUCUCUUAUAC